rnacentral:lncRNA from 1 species
AUUGGAAAUCCAGAGGUAGCUUGAUUGUCAUUUUGAGAUCCUUCACAAGUAACCUUGCAGAGCCUCAAAAGACUGAUGGGCACAGCUCUUUUGCUGGAUAUCCUUUCAGCAAUACUUGUAAAAGUAGUAAGGCUCCAGUAUUAAGACAUUACCAGAGAUUAAAACAUGGAAAUCUGACAAGUUUUAACAGCAAUCGAAGUGUGUGGUUUGGAGAAAAAGCAGUGGAGUCUGGAGUCUACAGGUCCCGUCGAGCACAUGUGGAGAGGAUGUGCUUCCUUUAGGAAGGCAGGAGAGGCUUAAGAGAGUACCUUCACUUUAAAAAAGCCUGGCAAAAUUAAAGUGACAAAUCCUGGAGAAAAUCUCAGAGCACGCAUCACAACCAGUCCCGCCAUUAGUCAACUUAGACAAACUGAAAGUAAACGGAGCCUUGUCCGAGUCUAUCCGCGACCCUGGGCCCCUCCAAGCAGCGGGAGCACCGGGAGGACCCCUCAGGGCCGGCACCAAGGGAACCAGGACCGAGUCCCGGCGUCUGCCGGGGCUUUGCAUGGCAGAAGGUUUUCAGGCUUCCGUCCCAGAUUUUCAGGAGACCGGCAUCCAUUUAGGAGACUCUGUCUCCACCAGCUUCUAAAUUCUGAAUGGGAAUAAGCCCAAUCGGCUCCCCACCCCCCAGUCCGCCAGGGUGUGGCGCCAGAGCCACUAGCCCGGCGGGGGCGCCCUACCCUCGGCACCGCCGUCCCGCCUCCCGCCGCAGCCCGAGGGGCGGGCCUCCGAACCACCCGGCUGUGCCACUUGGGAGCUGGCCCGGUCCGCAGAACAAAGUGGCGGCGGCGGGGCCGGAAGCUGAAGCGUGCUGCGAGCCAGCGGCCAGCGCACCGCCGGGAAGCGACGCCCACCUGUUUGCUCAGAUAUUUCCAGGCCGUGACACUUGGACCCUGAAUGGUGACCAGCCUCCUCACCUGAGGCAAGGCCGAGCCCCGGGGCACACAUCCUCCGGUAGACUUAGUGGCCCGACGGUCAGCGGCCCAGGCCGCCAGCUGCGCGCGGAUCUCCGAACACAAGGCGUGCUCGCCUGGCGGUGGUGCCUAAGCUGGGGUUGCUGCAGGUUCCCGAGGCCCGCUCAGGGAAAGGGCAUCCGAGCCUCUCCACCCAGCGACUCGGGGACCUUUAGGAGGGACCGACAAAGCCGGCGUCUCAAGCUUUUCACAAGGCCAAAGAUGAGGAGUGGCUGCAGUUUAGAAAGUGAAUCCCAAAACUCUGCUACAGAUGGACGCACACUUUUCCUACAUAGCUCCCAAAUCUGGUUUUGCUCCCAGAUACUCUGAUUUCUUUGUCGUGUUGACCCACUCAGGCAUCGGGACAUCACAACCCUCCAGCUGAUUCUAAUAUGCAGGCAAGUUUGAAAGCCACUGCCCUAAGACAUCCAUUACCCCCAGGAAAGGUUUUUUUUUUUUGGAGAAGGAGCAGGGACCUGCUCCCAUUUAGCUCUUGGCAAUUGUGCCAGCUUUGGAUCUAGCUCCCUAGUCAUUGAAAAGUAGAAUCCUUCACCUUACAGGUGUUUUGUUUUGUUUUUCAAAGUGACACAGCACAACAUUGACUCUCCAGUGGCAUCAGCCAUACAGGAAUUAUGAAAGACGAAGCCAGAUCCCCCAGGCCUUCAAUUAGUGCAAAUGAUAACUUAGCAUUGAGAAUUCUGCCUGCCAUGUACAAGCUCUUUCAGCCACCCUGACUCAGGAUAUUCCAUUAGGAACCAAAGUAAUCUCUCAGGGCUAGUGAUUGCAGACUUUUCCAGCUCGUGUAAAGGAAACUGAGAGUCUCAGAUUCAGGCUGGAUCACACGGACUUGCAUCCAGAUUCCCCCAAGCAUCCAGACUCCCCCAAAAUGGAUUUGCUAAGUCAAGACUUGCUACAGAAGAAGCCUUGCUGGUGUCUAGAAUGUCCAGGAGUGGCGCUGGGGAACGGGGCUGGGGGGGCAAGGGCAGUAUUGGAUGUCCAGGAUCGCUCAUGUACAAACUGAAAACCUGGUUAUAUUAAGUGGUGAAUUACUGAUACCAAAACUAGCAAAAUAGCCCCUUUUCAGCGGACAUGGAGGGGAGGAUAAUUCUCUUGACCUUUCCUAAAAGCAACCCCAGAGGCAGAGGC